GCUUAAUCCCGCGCGGCUCAGAGAUGGGUUUCUGGACUCGCGAAGCAGCUGCAACAAGGCAUCACUCACUGUAUAAGUAUUUCCAUUUCUGAGAGCAAAAGGAAGAACUUAAGCGGGCGGCACUUGGAGUGUAAAUUGCUUUGUAGUAUUUAAAGGCAGAAUGGAUCCUGGGCAGCCGAGCUGCAACAAACCGGCAGGACUUCCUGUGAAAUCAUGACCACCAUGUGCUCUUUCAGCCUCUAUCAGUUCCUACCUCUAAGCACCUGAGAGCCAAAGCAAACCACAGGAAACCACAGACUCAAACUAAACGUCAGCUUUUCCCGGCUCUCAAGCCUGCUGGUCCCUGAACUAAAACUCACAUUAUCAACUCUACUGGUUCUUAGGCCUUUGGAGUCAGACUGGAACUACAGCAUUGACUCUUCCGGAACUCCAGCUUACUGACUACAGAUCUUGGAACUUUUCAGCUUCCACAACCAUAAUGAAAGCCAAGCAUAUUCCAUCAUUUCCUAAAACCAAGAUAGAGCACAUAUGGGAACUUGUGAAAUAAGGAUGCCCUGCGGUUGUUUUCAGGACUGAAGACAACAGCUCCACGAUGUAUCUUUGCAUAAGAAUACACUUCUUCUUUGGACCUUUUAAGUUGCAUUAUCCCAUAAAAUGUGGUGGAUUCAAUGUUGUAUGGCCUGUAAAACUAAGUAAUGAAGGCUGAUAUGUACCCACCUGGCUCUGUCUUGGGAUCACACAACUUGGGAGCCAAAACAGUGAGACUUAUAAGAAUCUCAAGGAUGGUGUCCCAAGGCAAACUCAUGGCAAGAUCAAGAAAGAGAAUGGCCUGUCUUGACAAGAUUUGUGGUUUUGGCUUUCGUCUGAUGGAAUGAAUUGUACACAAAUACACAGAAAUCCCACAAAUAUUAAAAUAAUUGUAUCAACUUGUAAGAAAAAGGGAAAGAAAUAGCUUAAAAUGGAAUAUUGCUAAGCCCUCAAACCUUUACAAGCAGGAAAUAGGUGUAAACAGGCUUAGGAAAAUGGAAGGUGGACUCAGGGCAGAUUGAGGAGAUCUUGGAGUGCAGCAAAGAGCCAUAGAGAGCAAUUUCCAGGGAGUAGGACUGAACUCUAACCAAAUAAUUGGCAGCAUGUGCCUGGCAUUUCAGGAUUGACAUGGACCGGUGACUACUGUGUUCCUUCCCAUUCCCCACCCUUUUGUGUAGGAUUGUCUGUAGCAGUUUCCCAAUGCCUGUUCCUCCACUUGACGUUGGGUAUUUGGAGAACAAGAAAAAUUCUCUUUUUAGGUCAGAUGUGUGACAUGUAUCACAUUGUAAAAAAGAGUGCUCAAUGAGCUGUAUUUCAGGAAUUGCACUUAAGGGGAAUUAUUUUUACCUAUAUUGGAUUAAUAUGAUAAGAUUUUGAACUUUGAGCUUAUGUAAUUAUGAAGUGAGACCUUUAGUCUUGGGGAAUGACUGUAUUUUAUAUGCGAGAGGUAUAUAAAUCACUGUGGCCUGAAGAUAGACUGUGGCAGAUUGUAUUUUUCAAAGAUUUCCUGUCACACUUUUUUUUUAUUCUUUAUUUUUCUCUUUCUUUCUCUUUCCUCUUUCUCUUUCCCUUCCUCCCUUCCUUCCUUCUUUCCUUCCUUCCUUCCUUCCUUCCUUCCUUCCUUCCUUCCUUCCUUCCUUCUUUUCUUUCUUUCUUUCUGAGAGGGUCUCACUCUGUUUCCUGGCUAGAGUGGUGUCACAUUCAUAGCUCACUGUAGCUCAAACUCCUGAGUGCAAACAAUCCUCCUACAUCAGCCUCCCAAGUAGCUUGGACCACAGGUGUGCAUCCACUCCUGGCUAAUUUUUUAAUUUUAAUUUUUGUAGAGACGGGGUCUCACUUUGUUGCUCAGACUGAUCUUGAAUUCCUGGCUUCAAGAGAUCCUGCUGCCUCAACCUCUAAACUUGCUGGGAUUGCAGGUGUGAACCACCAUGCCCAGCUACUUUCUUUUUCUUACAAUAUGCCUUUGAUGCUCUUCCCAUCAAGAGGUAUUCCUUUCCCUUGAAUAUGGGCAAGGCUGUGAUUAUUAAUGCUAUAUGACUUUUGAGAGUAGGUCAUGAAGCAUGAUACAUUUUCCUAGUUCAUUUAGGAUGCUUGCUCUUAAUACCUAGCCCCUAUGCUUGUAUAAGUCCAAGAGACCUGUUGUGGGGAGGCUCACAUGAAGAAGAACGCAGGCACCUAGCCUACAGUCUGAUUGAGCUCUCAUCUGAUAACCCAUAAGAACUUGAGAGCCUUGUGAGUAAACCAUCUUGAAUCUUUCAGGACCCAGUUGAAACACUUCAGCUGAUGCUGCAUGGAUCAUUGCGGAUUUGUGAGCAAAAUAAAUUAAUAUAGCUUUUUGUUUUAAUUAAACAAUAUUUUUUGAGACAAGAUCUCAUUUUGUCACCCAGGUGGGAGUACAGUGGCACAUUCACAGAUCACUGUAGCCUCAAAUUCCUAAGCACAGGAGGUCCUCCCACCUCAGCCUCCCCAGUAGCUGAGACCACAGCAUGUGCCACUGUGUCUGGCUAAUUUUUUAUUUUUUUGUAGAAACGGAGUCUUGCUAUGUUGCCCAGGCUGGCCUCAUGUGAUCCACUUGCCUCAGUCUUCCAAAUUGUUGGGAUUACAAGUGUGAGGCACUGCACUGAGCCCAAUAUUCCUUUUUAAGCUACUAAGUUUUGGACUGAUUUGCUUCCCAGCAGUAUACGAUUGAUAAAACACAGAAUAUAGAAUAAAAUUAAUCUCUUAUGUUGUCCUAUGAGGCUUUGUGAGAUUUAGUUUCUACCAACACCCCAAAGUCAUGUCAUACCAUUUUUCACUGUGCUUACUUUGCUUCACUGACUUUUCUCCUGUUUUCUAAAACUAGCUAGUUCUUAUCUUCAGGCUUUGUCAUUGUCAUUCCCUGCUGAGAAUAUUGUCUGUCCAAAUCUUGUAAUUCAGACUCAAAAAUAGUCUGUGGCCACUCAAUCUAAAGUAACCCACCACAAACUCUAGCCCAUCUCCCUAUUUAUUUUCAUCAUGAUAUUUAUAUCUAUCUCAUCUAAAUUUUAUCUAUUUGUCAUCUAUCUAAUUGAAAUUUCAUGUUUCUUUACUACUAAUACGCAAGCUCUGUUAAGACAGAAGUAUUUAGUUUAAUUAGAUCCCAUUUGUCAAUUUUGGUUUUUGUUGCCAUUGCUCUUGGUGUUUUAGACAUGAAGUCUUUGCCCAUGCCUAUGUUCUGAAUGGUAUUGCCUAGGUUUUUGUCUAGGAUUUUUAUGGUUUUAGGUCUAACAUUUAAGUCUUUAAUCCAUCUUGAAUUAAUUUUUGUAUAAGGCGUAAGGAAGGGAUCCAGUUUCAGCUUUCUACAUAUGGCUAGUCAGUUUUCCCAGCACUAUUUCUUAAACAGGGAAUCCUUUCCCCGUUUCUUGUUUUUGUCAGGUUUGUCAAAGAUCAGAUAGUUGUAGAUAUGUGGCAUUAUUUCUGAGGGCUCUGUUCUAUUCCAUUGGCCUAUAUCUCUGUUAUAGGGACACUUUUACACUGUUGGUGGGACUGUAAACUAGUUCAACCACUGUAGAAGUCAGUGUGGCGAUUCCUCAGGGAUCUAGAACUAGAAAUACCAUUUGACCCAGCCAUCUCAUUACUGGGUACAUACCCAAAGGAUUAUAAACCAUGUUGCUAUAAAGACACAUGCACACGUAUGUUUAUUGUGGCACUAUUCAUAAUAGCAAAGACUUGGAACCAACCCAAAUGUCCAACAAUGAUAGACUGGAUUAAGAAAAUGUGGCACAUAUACACCAUGGAAUACUAUGCAGCCAUAAAAAAUGAUGAGUUCAUGUCCUUUGUAGAGACAUGGAUGAAGCUGGAAACCAUCAUUCUCAGCAAACUAUUGCAAGGACAAAAAACUGAACACCACAUGUUCUCACUUGUAGGUAGGAAUUGAACAAUGAGAACACAUGGACACAGGAAGGAGAACAUCACACACCGGGGCCUGUUGUGAGGUGGGGGGAGCGGGGAGGGAUAGCAUUUGGAGAUAUACCUAAUGUAAAUGACGAGUUAAUGGGUGCAGCACCCCAACAUGGCACAUGUAUACAUAUGUAACAAACCUGCACGUUGUGCACAUGUACCCUAGAACUUAAAGUAUAAUAAAAAAAAAAGAAAAAAAAGAAAGACAGAAGUAUUGUUCAUCUUGUUUUCUUCCCUAAUCACGUUACCUAGAACAGUGCCUAUCAGAUAGUAGGCACUCCACAAAUAUUUGUUGACUUAAUGAACCAGUGGAAAUAAAUAUUAAUUCAGUUUUACAUUACACAGCAAAAUAGAAAUCCAAUAUUUAAUCCAGUUCAUAUUACAAAAUAAUACCUUCUUUUUAAAAAUUAAAUCCAUUAAAUUGACAUAGAAAAAUCUUCACCAUCUCAUGACUUUAUAAAAACAAAAUUGGUUUCUAUACCACUUGGAUUAUUUCUACAAAUUCUAUUUAUAUGGUUUGUGUCAAUAAACCAUAGAAAAUAAAAUUUUCAAAUAAAACUUAUAUAUUUGUUAUUUGAUCUUGUUCUACUUAUAUGAAUCUUUUAUUUCAUGCAAAUAAAACCCAAAAUAUGAUUCAGCAACUUUCAGUCUGUUUUUAGAGGCAGAGUCUUGAUAUUUCACCCAGGCUGGAGUGCAGUGUCACAAUCAUGGCUCACUUCAGGCUCAACCUCCUAGGCCCAAAAGAUUUAUUCACCUCAACCUCCUGAGUAGCUGGGAUUACAGGUGUGCACCACCAUGCCUGGAUAAGUUUUAUAGUUUUUGUAGACACAAGGUCUCGCUAUACUGCCCAGGCUGGUCUGGAACUCCUGGACUCAACUAAUCCUUCCACCUCAGCCUCCCAAAGUAUUGGAAUUACAGGUGUAAUCCACCAUGCUUGGCCAAUUUUCAUUCUUUAAUGUUAGGCUUUGAGUUUAGUAUCAAACUUUAAAACAAAAGCAACAACAACAAAAAACAAAAAACAUUUCCAAAAAAGAAAAAAAGUACUGGUAGCAGUCAAUAAAAGAAAAGACUCCAAUUUCCAGGAAUUUGGAAUGUGGAAUCCUGGCAUUAUAGAGAUACAGCUUUUUCAUCUAAUUAAUGUAUAAAAUAGUCAAUACUUUCAUUUUAUUUUCUUGGAGUUUACUCCUUUUCACCCUGAAGCCUGGGUAACAAAGCAAGUGCACAAAAAUCGUUAGAAUAACACUUUUCAACAAGAAGCAGUCCCAAAGUAAGUGAAAGGAAUUUCUUUAGUGAUUUUCUCCCUGAGGGGGAGCAGUAGUCUGAAAUCUCACUGGUAUCUAUUCUGAAAGAAUCAGGGGAUUUAUUUAUGUCAUAAUCUAGUAUUUGCAGCCUGCUUUGAUUUUCCUCGGGAUUUCCUUGGAUAUAUUUUACUGAGAGAAGUGUGAAAAGUACUUCUGAUUUGAGAAGCAUGAAAAGAAAGCCUCAGGCCAGGAGACCAUCUUCUACUCUGAGUCAUCCAUUUGCCUGUUCUGAACAACCUCUACUAUUGGCUCUUGCACAAAGAUCUCCUGAGAGUAGUUGUUGGUAGACUCUAAUUGCCUACUAUUUUUAACUCAUUCCCUUACUCCUUUGAUAAGAGUUGAGAGCCCAAGACUUUAAUGGAUUUUGCACGUAUGUCUUAUUCUAUUUACCUAAUCAUAAUGCAAUUUCACUUCAGCACAAACACAGCCAUAGCAAUCAUGACUUAAUUUUAAUUCCUAACUCACUGUAAGUAAGCCAGCUUAUGCUUUUACUAACCAAUUUCCAAUGCAUAUAAAUAAUAACACAUAUUUGGCAUAUCACAGUGCUUAGCUCUUUCUGAUGAGCAAAAGAUUAUAUAUUUAUUGGUGCUUAUCUUGAUGUUUCACAAGAUUUUUCAUUUAUUUCUAUACUGUUCCCUUAGGUUACUAGGUGCAGUCACUUUCCCUACCACCUGCUUUCCACUAUCUGCUCCUUAUCUUUUUCUUUAGAACCUUGCUUCACCUUCUUCCUCUAUUUGUGACCGCUCUGCAGGUGAUCAGGCUUCCUCCACUUUCCUUACCUUCUGAUUGUCUCAUACCAUCUUCCAUCAUUUUCCACACAUAUUACUUGCUUUAUACCAUACUGUAUUUGUAAAACACAUAAAAGAUUGCUAGUAUUUUUAUUUUAUAGAUGAUGAAACUGAAGUAUGAAAGAUAAAUGACUCACCAGAGGCUAUGAUUUGUGGGCCUUUUAGUGGGUUUAAUAGGAGGAAAGCAAAGGUGAAAUGCCAGAAUAGCGAAGGUGGAGAAAUUUGAGAUGAGUGAUAGAGACCUAAGAAAGUGGCAGUUAAAAUGGUCCAGGGCAUAAAAUGAUGUGAGGAAUAGUAGAAAGAAAAGGAGAAAAAUACCUUAAAAUUGAUGACUCUUCUGUCCUAAUAACUUCAAAGUGCAUUUCAAUUUGAAACCUUUAUCACCUCAUUGCGUGGAGGAGACAAAGGAAAGAAAACAUACAGAGCAUUUGUCUCUUCCUGAAGUUUCCUCAAUUCAUAAAAUCCCUAAGACACUAAGAGAAGAAAAUACUGUGAACAUGUUUAGUUUGAUAUUGGUUAUUGUCAUUUCUUUUCAUUCCUUCAAAUACAUUUUAUAAAUUCAAUUUCACAUAUUAUUUAACCUCAUCUACCUGACAUGAUAUUGUUCUCCUGACACAUCCUGUUUAUUAAAUAUUAAUCACAUAUUUUA
rnacentral:lncRNA from 1 species